rnacentral:lncRNA from 1 species
CCCUGAUGGUGAUGCGCCAGUCCUGGCCCUCGGGAGAGGACGAGCUGCGGGCCCUGGCGUGGGAAAACACGCAGCUUCUCAUGAACCAGCUGUGGCAGCUGGUGACUGAGCAAGUGGACGAGGCGGUGGUAGCAUGCUUGCAGGAGCCCGCCACAGGCCUGGCCCAGGAGAAGCCUCUGCACCAGCUACUGCCGCUCUAAUGCUUUCAGCAGUUCCAGUGCAUUAGGGCAUCUGUCCCAAGAAGAGGGCCAACAUCCUGUGUGAAAAGGUGAUUGGCAAUGCUGUUGUGGCUACAAGCUCAGCCAGGAUGACACCAAGGAGUAGCUGAUUGAAGUGCCAGGGAGUGCUGACCCCACGGAAGACCAGUUCUGCAAGAUGAUUCAGGCCAAUAAAGCGCAUGGCCAUGAAGGAGCUGAACCAUCUGCAGAACAUGGCCCGCACGCACAAGAUGCAGAUGCCCAGCUCAGCCGACCUGCACCCACGGGACACCAGAAUGAGGAGGACCUGGGUCAUGCCAUGCAAGUGGCUAUGGUCUCCACCACUUGGGUGGGAUGCUUCAGAGAGUGCCUCCCAAGGAGAAAGCCCCUGGGGCUCUGGCAAGAGGAAGUUUCAGGCCCUUUUGGGGGACUUCACAACCCAGAAAAGACACAAUUGGAGCUACUUCAAGUCAUGAACAGCAAGAAACCUGCUCUGGAGGUGACCAGGGCCCAACAAACACAUGAGGGAAGAAGACCAAGAGGAGUUUGCCAAGAGGAGGAUAAUUAGCCAGAUGGACAAGAGAAAAAGAAUCCAACAAGGAGCAUCGGGCAAAAAGACCAGCCCGCCAUGUUAGGUAGAGAAAAAGAAAGGAAGCUUGGGAGGCCAGAAGCAUUCCAGGCGGCCUGCCGUAGGUGUCAAGAAGAAAGGAGCGCUGCCCCAAGGAGGGCAGAGGAGAACGUAGUGCUCUCCCCUCUGGACCUGUUCUGAAAAGCUAGACCUGUAGAAAAAUAGCCACUGGAGAGACAUGCUUUAACACUUAAACUGCACUCCUGUCUUCCACACUCCACCCGUGCUGAUGGGGAGGAGAGACAGCAAAAUCAAGAAGAGCUGCCAUUGGUAACAAUGAGUGGCCCUUCCCCAUGAAUGUCCAUCCCUUUCCUGGUGUGGUUUAGACACUGGCCGGAGCAGAGCACAAGAGCCCUGAAAGUAUUAGGAGUACACGCCAUCGGGAACUACAGGGAUCUCUUGUGGGCAAAACCAGCAAGCUGGAGUACAAAAGUGAGCAGAGCAAGUGACCAACCAGAACACAAUGGAGAAGGACAGACAAACUGCCACAAAAGAAAACAGGAAAAAACCACCAACAAAAUCCUUAGCUGCUUACCCUCCAAAGGCCAUGCUGUAAGGAGGGCAAAGUACUACACUGGGAAGCACAUGGCAGAAAGAAAGACAUGGAUACAGGAAUCACAGACCCCUGGAGUUUUGGAUGCUCCAAGAGAAAAUAUAAAGCAAAAAAACAAAACGGCAACAAAAAUGGAGUUUGUCUUGGAGGAACACUGGGAAACACCAGCACAAAGUAGAUACUCUCCUCAUCCCAUAGCCUCAUCAUUCUACCCACACAGGUGACAAUGACCAUGGAGAAAGCAGAAUGGCUGACAUGCAAAUGAGGCACAGGGCCCAGGUGUCACAAGCCUCCCACAGAAUAUACUCAAGCAAGCAAGUACAGAAAGCGGGAAGUUAAGUCCACAGUACAUUUUGCUUUGUAAUUGGUUUAUUUUGUUAGGGUAACACAGUC